rnacentral:lncRNA from 1 species
AAAUGGAUCAAUAAAAGAGGGAUCAUGUUGCACAACAUCUGCUAGGAAACUUUAAUACAAGUGUGUCAAUCAUACCAAUGGUCCAAAAUGGUAUGCCUAUAACGAUAAGGCAGAGUGUUAUAGAGUUUUACGAAAGUCUGUUGAAGGUUGUUUCUUUGAAGCUGAAUCAAAUGGGAUGAUUUCAUUGGCAACACCAUCAAUGAGCACAGGUA